rnacentral:rRNA from 1 species
GGAUUAGAUACCCUGGUAGUCCACACCGUAAACGAUGUCUACUAGCUGUGUGUGUCUUUAAGACGUGCGUAGCGAAGCAAACGCGAUAAGUAGACCGCCUGGGGAGUACGGUCGCAAGAUUAAAACUCAAAUGAAUUGACGGGGGCCCGCACAAGCGGUGGAGCAUGUGGUUUAAUUCGAUGCAACGCGAAGAACCUUACCUACACUUGACAUCCAGAGAACUUAGCAGAGAUGCUUUGGUGCCUUCGGGAACUCUGAGACAGGUGCUGCAUGGCUGUCGUCAGCUCGUGCUG